rnacentral:lncRNA from 1 species
AGAGAAUUAGCUCUAGAAGCCCUACUCAUCGCCGGAGGGUCCAUUUGCUCCCCGCAAGUCUAGCAUCUAGGAAAAGGUGAGCGUCUGGGGGCCCCUGGAGGCUCCCAAGGCAAUUGGAAGUCACUGUUCCUACAGCUGCUCCCCUAGGGAAGAGGAGGCUGGACUCAGAGGCCACUGUCCGGAGCUGCGCCGGCCCCUUUAUGUGCACAUGUCCAAGCUCCACAGGAGAACGCAGCCGCUUCCUUCCCUUCCGCAUGCGGGGAUGGGGUAAGUGGCAUAAGAUGGGGGUAAGUGCGGGGAUGGGGUAAGAGGCUGAGUGGCAUUGCUUUCUGGGGGAUGCAAGUCCCUGUGGCUGGCUUGAGAGCCUAGGGUGGGAGCCUGCUGGGAAGAGGGCAGCGCGGGGCGUAGGCAGCCCUGACAGUGCCGGGGUGUGAGUCCUCCAACUGCAGGAGGCUGAAGAGAGGGCCGCCCUGCACGCAUGUUCUUGCCUCCACCUCUGGUCGGCCUUCCGUGACCUCCCUAUCAGAAUCUCUUCCUCAUUUGUGCCUCUGCUGGAGCAAUGGCCAUGCUCUGUCUGGCGUGGUGCCCGGGUUUGAAAUCCCUGAUGGCUGAGAGGGUGGUGGAGCCCCGUGCCGGGCACUCCGUCGGUGCUCAGUUAGUAGUUGAUGCAGUGGACUGGGCUGAAUCACAGAACAUGCAUAUGCUUUUUUUUUUCUCGAAUAAAUUUUUACAACAUACAA